rnacentral:rRNA from 1 species
UACGUAGGGUGCAAGCGUUGUCCGGAAUUAUUGGGCGUAAAGAGCUCGUAGGCGGUGUGUCGCGUCGGCCGUGAAAACCUGCAGCUUAACUGUGGGCUUGCGGUCGAUACGGGCAUCACUGGAGUUCGGCAGGGGAGACUGGAAUUCCUGGUGUAGCGGUGAAAUGCGCAGAUAUCAGGAGGAACACCGGUGGCGAAGGCGGGUCUCUGGGCCGAUACUGACGCUGAGGAGCGAAAGCAUGGGUAGCGAACAGG